CACGUAGGGCGCGAGCGUUGUCCGGAAUUAUUGGGCGUAAAGAGCUCGUAGGCGGCCUGUUGCGUCCGCUGUGAAAGCCCGGGGCUUAACCCCGAGCCUGCAGUGGAUACUGGCAGACUAGAGGUAGGUAGGGGAGAAUGGAAUUCCCGGUGUAGCGGUGAAAUGCGCAGAUAUCGGGAGGAACACCGGUGGCGAAGGCGGUUCUCUGGGCCUUACCUGACGCUGAGGAGCGAAAGCGUGGGGAGCGAACAGG
rnacentral:rRNA from 1 species